GAAAAAUAUUAAGCGCUUUCGUUUAACUAACUUCUAACUUACUUAAUUGAAAAUACUUUUUUGUUAAGAUUUUGACAAAAUUUACGUCUUUAAAUUAAAAUUCUUCAAAUAGUCAAACGGUUAACAAAAGAAGAAAGCGGUUAUUUAAUGCUUAUCUUUAAAAAAAUUAAGGCAAUUAAAGUAGAGAAGUUUAUUGGAAGGAUGCUCGAGAUUAAAAUGCGAAAGAUUUGACACUUAAAGUCGUGAUGAAUCUUAAGUUUGAAGAGUCGAAAGCUGGACACUCCGUUUUUAAAGCCGAAAACUGCAAAUUUGUGCGCGUUUAAGCCACGUCUCCGCACAAAAAUGAAGAAUCGUUAGGAGAAGAGAAGAAAUAAAGCUUUAAAAUAUUAAUCUUUCG